rnacentral:RNase_P_RNA from 1 species
UAGCUUCGUCGGACGGCCGCGCGGGAUCACGCCGAAAGGUAUUCCCGUGAGGAAAGUCCGGGCAUCGCAGGGCAGGAUAACUGAUAACGUCAGCCGCGGGUAACCGCCGGAAAAGGGCAACAGAAAUAGACCGCCGUCCCCCGUGGGCGGUAAGGAUGGAAAGGCGAGGUAAGAGCUCACCCACUUCCACGGUAACGUGGAUUUGCUGUAAACUCUAUCCGAUGCAACACCGUGUAAGGCCGCAAGGCGGGUCGGCCCGACCCAAUCCACUUACUGGGUGGCGCACGGCGAAAGCCGUGAAGCUCUCUGGUGACAGAGCGCGCAGAUAGAUGGUCGUCGGCUCUCCUUUGGGGAGCGCACAGAACCCGGCUUACAGACGGAGCUACAAA